AUUCUCCUUAUUGAUUUGCUUGUAAUAUACUUGUUGUUGGAGCCUUGGGCGGACAGGGGAGGUACUGUCCGUUCGGCGUCUGUCGUGUGCUCGAAUCCGACCAAAUUGGCGGAGCUCGGGGCGGGACAGAUAUGGUGGUAUCAGAGCGAUGUGAAAGCAAAAGUCUAGGAUGGACUUAGGGACCUUAGGAUUGGAGACCUUAGGAAUUAGGACACGUAUGACGUGGACUUGGAUAGGCGAAGGCUAAUUGAUUGGGUUAUGAGUAGAACUUCUCU
rnacentral:lncRNA from 1 species